GGCCGGCUGGCGAAAUGGCAUCGCGUCAGAUUUCGGUACACCGGACUCCAUUACUCUGAAGAUUGCAGGUUCGAUCCCUGCGUCGGUCG